UCGGUUUCACUUUGCUUCUUGCUGUACAGACUGCUGCCACACUGGCUGGCUAGGUCGCUCUGACCAAGUCAUGUGGAGGAAGCCAGGAAGCAAUGUUACUCCAUGGUGUCUGCCUCAGUGCCUGCCUCCAGGUUCCUGCCUUCUCUUCCAGUGAUGGAGUGUAACUUGAGAGUUGUGAGGUGUCAAAUAUUAGAUUGGAGAGAGAAUCCAGCUGAAGGAUCAGAUCGGCUUCCUAGUGCUCAGGCACACAGUGAUUCUGCACUUUCUGAUCCAGCUUCCUGUGGGCUCCCCGGAGGCGGUCUACAAUCCCUGGGCAUUCUCCCAAGGGUGGGGCAAAAGCUAUAAUGAGCUAACACCACUUUACUGAGCUUUUAAAAGAGCAGCAGCAAAGCUGAGACCAACUGGAGAGAGCCUGAGCAAGCAGUGAAGACCAACCAACAACCUCUCCUGAUGUGGCGGUUGGUAACUCCUCCCAAGACCCAGCCUGGCUCAGCUUUAGGGCUGACAAGAGCAUGAGCAGAAAGCUCAGCUUCCUCAGCAGGCUUGGUAAAUAAAUGUGUUCCCAACCCAUGAAGAAAUGUGAUCCAUAAAGUUCCUGCUAGUCCUUGUCUUGAUGUUAUUGGCCUAGUCAAUGAAACACAAUCCUGAACAAAUUCUGUCUUGUCACCCGUUCCAAAUCUUGUUCUGUCAAAAGCUAUGGCUCCCAUUCCUUAUGUUUGUGUAGGAUAUUGCAGCUCACGAAACAUAUGCACCGUGAAAUGGACUAGAGAGAACUUAUUAUCCUUGUUUUACAGACCAGAAAAGUGAAAAUGCAGAGAGCAGAGAUUACAGGUCCCAAGGAAAAGGAGCCUCGAGAAGCUGUGUGCAGCAUACCUAGUGACAGUCCCACAUCAGGUGCCCUGAGUAGGCAGGUGAUACCCAGAACAGUUCCCCAUUCUACCUGAAAGGAUCUAACUGCUAGGCCUGGGUCUGUAAUCCCAGCCACUCCAGAUGCUGAUGCAGAUCGAGUAUUCAAAACUGGGCUGGACUACAAAUCAAUUCAACGCCAGCCUGAACAACUUGGUGAGAUCCUGUCUCAAAAACAAGCAAAACAUAGCACAAAACGUUAUGGAAUCUGUGACUACUCUCCUUUACUAGUUAUACACAGACAGAAGAACCAAAACACAGCCAGGUACUGAAGAAGUUCCAGGUUCUGGAGAAGACUCCUUCUGUACACAUCCACCCAGAUGUUCUCCAUAGGACUCCACCCAGCUUGGUUCCAUCGGCCUGGUCCCCAGGUCCUGAUGAACGGACAGCAUCCUCGUGCAGUUGCUGCUGGAGCUUCAUUAGUGAUUAAUUAUUUUCACAGCCGCUGUUUUAAACACAUAAGGGACAAAAAUUGCUUUCAUUCCAUUGAAAGUGCGAAGAGGACUAAAAGAAUCGGUAGGCUUGGCCUGGUCUUGGAGUCAAACUUUCCCUUUGAUAUGUUUUCACUUAUUUGAAAAAAAAAAAAAAACAUAGUAACAAAAAAAAAGCAUUAACACAAAAUAAGGAUCAAAACCAUGAAUAAAAGUAAAAUGUGAUGACCCGAAGUUAGCAGAGAUCCUGCUGUCCCUGUAGGACGUGGGCAUCUAGAUGGUUCUAAGCCCAGGUCACUAGCCAUGUUUCUGUUUUGGUAGAAUGAGAGUUCAUAAUGGAAAUGAAAAGAUUUAUGAUACAUGCAUUUUAUUUUCAUCUUACUUUUAUAUUCUUGACAUACCCCAGAUUUUAACCUCUCCAGUGAACUUCGUCAUGGUUGUGUCUAAUAGAUUUUGGUUAUUGUUUUUUGACUCCAGCUCUCAGCCACCUGAGAGAUGUUCUCUGAUGGCCAGUGUCAAUCUUUGCAGCUGCAGUAUCUGAGCUCUCUCUUCCCUCUGAGCGACAUUUACCUGUGCAGCCAUUGCAGCAGCCCACUAAGCCACCAAGUAACAGCAUUUAGGAUUACUCUGCUGUUGUUCUUUUCCCCAAGUAGUAGCAAACCUUGAAUGCCAGAUUUGGAAAACAUAUUUGAAGCUAUAAAAGGAAUUUAAGAGGAAUUUUAGAGGAAUUUAAAUGAGAUAGCUACACCCCAAUGGUCCUCUGCAUAAGUCUGCAUAAAUGGAUGUAGAGUUGACUAAGGAGAGUGCCUAUCAGUCAGACAGCCAUGUCAGUGUCUAUGUCUUUGGAAUGGUGUCUUUAAACAACUGACCACUAUGUAUGCUGGUUUCUUACUGACAUCACCUUUUCAAAGGAACCGGUGUCUGUGUUUUAUAACUGAGAAAUGUAGUUUCAUGGGGCGCGACAUAAUUCAUUGACAGUCUGUCCAAAACUUGUACCUUGAAGCUAUGUUUAUGUUUUUACUAAAUAGUUACUGGAUGGAGUUCAAGAUUUUCAAAAUAAAGGUGUUCCCCUUGAUGGAAAGUAUGUUACAUCCAAAGAGAGUCUUUGGACCACCAAAUACCAGGUAAAACCAGUGCAAUAUUUCUAUUUGACAAGUAAAUUACAGCAAUAGGAAAGGUAUUACAUGAAAGAGAAUGUCAAAAAUUUCCUCACGUCACUUUCCAAUUAGAAAUUCACAAUGAUUUUUUUAUAAUUCAUCAUUGUAUUGCUAAUAAUGUUUGGGAGGUGUGGGCUCUAUAGGAUGCAAUACUGGCUGUGCCACUUGUGGCUUACAUAGAAGAAAACUUCCAUACCCUCUUGUGUUCUGUGACUACAGCUUUCAUAUUACAUAAACAACAGUAACAAAAGACAUUAAAAGAAUAAAAACCUGCAAAAUGUACUUAAUAUUGGCAUUUUAUCAAUACAGGA
ensembl:lncRNA